rnacentral:rRNA from 1 species
CAUCUAUGUUAUACCACCUCGAACAUCCCUAGUCUAGUCCAAUUUUGGAAACUAAGUAGGGUUGGGCCAGGUUAGUAAUUGGAUGGUAGUAAUCCAGGCUAGAAAUGUGA